AUAUGGCUUAGUUAUGAGGCAGAUAUUGAUUCGGCUUUUUGUAGCUGAGGCCUUUUGAGGGGACUCCUUGUCUCUUUCUCAUCAAUUGUCCUCCAAGCAGCCUCACACAUUC